rnacentral:rRNA from 1 species
UUCCCCUCAAAUCAGGUAGGACUACCCGCUGAACUUAAGCAUAUCAAUAAGCGGAGGAAAAGAAACCAACCGGG